UCACUCUCAUUUCAAAACAUUUCAAAAUGCCCGCUUCCCUGCUCCUCUCUCUGUGGCGAUUCCAGAUCUAGAUCUGGAUCUAGGGUUUUUCUCCAUCACGUUUCUACUACUCCAAUUCCUCAUGGAAAUCAUACAGUCCUCUCAAAAUCAAACCCAAGUCUAGGUUUUGAACUUCACGGAGAGUUGAAGAUGAUGCUAGCUGUUGUUUUAAUUGGUGGUGGUUAGCAACGAUAGAGAUGGUGGUAGUCUGCGGCUUGUGGUGGUAAUGGUUAGCGUCAACAGAUUCUGGUGACCCAACCUAAGGUUUAGAGUUUCGACCAGAUUCUGGUAGCCCUAUCUAGGGUUCUGACCAUAACCCUAAUCCGGUGAAAGUUGUAGAUCUGGUCAGUAAGGGAAUGACAACGAAUUUCGUGUUGUGUGUUGACACAAUGGUAAGGAAGAGGAGAACUGAAGGUCCCAGUGGUGGUGAAAGCUCUGGGCUCCAGGAAGGAAGUGGUGCUCAAAGACAACCAGCACAUCAGCAACAACAUCAGCAGUAGCAGCAGCAAGGUGGCUAUCAGGGAAGAGGCCAGGGUGGUGGUUAUCAAGGACGAGGGCAGCAGGGUGGUUACCAAGGCGGACACGGUGGCUACCAAGGUGGACAGCCUCAAGGAGGAAGAGGUUGGGCACAAAGGGGUGGACACGGUGGUCGAGGUGGCGGUGAUCCACAACAGUAUGCUCCAAGAGGAACUGCGCCACCUCAGCAAUGUGGUGGGCCUGGACCUCAGUAUUCUGGUGGACCUUCUAGGACGCCCGUUCCCGAGAUGUACCAAGCAACACAAGCUCCGCAACAGCCUGUGUCGACAUUGCAGCCAGCGACACCUGGAACACCAGUUGAAGUGCAUGCCAAGUCAUCAUCCACUAAGCAGAUGGUGGAUGAGUCAGCGGAUCAGUUGCAGCAGCUAUCAGUGAACCCAGCCAGUCUGUCGCACCUGCCUCCAGCAAAUCAUUGAGGUUUCCUUUGCGUCCGGGAAAAGGUCGCAUCGGAGAAAGUUGCAUUGUCAAAGCUAACCACUUUUUCGCUGAGCUGCCUGAUAAGGAUCUACACCAAUACGAUGUGACAAUCAAUCCUGAAAUGACAUCACAUGGUGUGAACUGAGCCGUAAUGGAAAGUAAAUUUUAAUAAAAGCUAUUGAGAACAUUUGUGUUGCUGUUAAUAGUAUUAUUUUGAAAACAGGUAUGAUCUGGUUAAGUUCAUUAACCUAAUUAAGGAAGCUGGGCUGUAUGUUCAUCUCAGAAUAGGCCCAUAUGUUUGUGCUGAAUGGAACUUUGGGAGAUUUCAUGUGUGGUUGAAAUAUAUGCCAGGAAUUAGUUUUAGAACAGAUAACGCUCCUUUCAAGGCUGCACUGGAAAAAAUUCACAAGGCACAUAGCGAAAAAGAGUUCUUGCAAUGGAAAGAUUGUUGGUGCACAACAUUUUGCAGCUGCUGCAACGGCUGCUGGUGCGUUUAAUCCUGAAGUUGAUUUUGAUUCUCCUCUUGAUGGUGUUAGGUUCUUGUCGUGUUUUCGGGUCGUGUCCGAAAUUAACACCCAUACUGGACACAUGAGGUAGUCGUUAAAGAAGGCAUUGUUGCAAGUACAUGAUUGAGAUUGUGAUCCUAUUUUGCAAGGUUUCGAUGUAAAUCAAGUUAUAUUUGAUGUACGUUGCAAUGUCUUCUGUUUUUGUAAUGGACCAUCUCUUGUCCAAGCGAAGAAGGAUAUUUUUUUUCCGAACAAGCGUUGGUUCUACUUGUAUGGCAAUCUCCUGAUCCAAUUUCAAUAGUUGGAAUUUACCUGUUGGUGCC